GAAUUGUAUAAGUUCCUAAACGCAUCUUUAUGUCAAUAUCAACUGACAGCUGUCACUCUUGUUAUAUAUGUCAACGUCGUUUGUGUGUGCGCCCCUUUUCGUUCUUGCGUCGUCAAUGAGUACGGACACAAAAUAUUGUAUCGCCGAUAGAAUAAAUACUAUCCAUAAAAAUCUGCGUCUUUAUUAUAAGAAAACCAGACGAUCACUCCAACACUUCAAACCUUAGAACUUAUAUCUCAAGGUGGGUGGCGCAUUUAC